AUGGAGAGUUUGAUCCUGGCUCAGGACGAACGCUGGCGGCGUGCUUAACACAUGCAAGUCGAACGCWGAAGAGAU
rnacentral:rRNA from 1 species